rnacentral:pre_miRNA from 1 species
UAGGUAUGUCCUAAGUCAAACUUGUCUAACUUUGGCCAAGUGUAUAGAAAAAUAUAUUAGCGUCUACAAUAUCAGAUAAAUACACUAUCAAAAUAUUUAAUAGUGUAUCUAAUGAAUCUAGUUUGAUGUUGUAGAUGUUUGUACAUUUUUCUAUAAACUUCAUCAAAGUUAAAGAAGUUUGACUUAGGAGAAAACUAA